UAAGGUAGCGAAAUUCCUUGUCGGGUAAGUUCCGACCUGCACGAAUGGAGUAAUGAUGGCCACACUGUCUCCUCCAGAGACUCAGCGAAGUUGAAAUGUUUGUGAUGAUGCAAUCUCCCCGCGGAAAGACGGAAAGACCCCAUGAACCUUUACUGUAGCUUUACAUUGGACUUUGAACAGAUCUGUGUAGGAUAGGUGGGAGGCUUUGAAGUAAGGUCGCUAGAUCUUAUGGAGCCGACGUUGAAAUACCACCCUGGUGUGUUUGAGGUUCUAACCUUGGCCCGUGAUCCGGGUUGGGGACAGUGUAUGGUGGGCAGUUUGACUGGGGCGGUCUCCUCCUAAAGAGUAACGGAGGAGCUCAAAGGUACCCUCAGCCUGGUUGGCAAUCAGGCGUAGAGCGCAAAGGUAGAAGGGUGCUUGACUGCAAGACCUAUAAGUCGAGCAGAGACGAAAGUCGGACUUAGUGAUCCGGCGGUUCCGAAUGGAAGGGCCGUCGCUCAACAGAUAAAAGGUACUCUGGGGAUAACAGGCUGAUCACUUCCGAGCGUCCAUAGCGGCGAAGUGGUUUGGCACCUCGAUGUCGGCUCAUCACAUCCUGG
rnacentral:rRNA from 1 species